rnacentral:rRNA from 1 species
GACCAACGCUGGCGGCGUGCCUAAUACAUGCAAGUAGGACGCAGUUGCGAACGGGUGAGUAACGCGUAGGUAACUACCUAUUAGAGGGGGAUAACUAUUGGAAACGAUAGCUAAUACCGCAUACUAGUAGAUGGACCUGCGUUGUAUUAGAUAGUAGGUAGGGUAAUGGCUUACCUAGGCAACGAUAAAUAGUCGAACGGAGAGGGUGAGAGGCCACACGGGGACGGAGAAAAGGCAAAGACGCCUACGGGAGGCAGCAGUAGGGAAUCUUCGGCAAGGGGGGGAACACGGACCGAGCAACGCCGCGGGAGUGAGGAAGGUUGGCGGAUAGUAAAGCUCGGUUGGUAAGGAAGCGGUACUUAACCAGAAAGGGACGGCUAACUACGGGCCAGCAGCCGCGGUAAUAC